rnacentral:rRNA from 1 species
AAACAGCAGCCGCCACGGUAAUACGUAGGGUGCAAGCGUUAAUCGGAAUUACUGGGCGUAAAGCGUGCGCAGGCGGUUAUAUAAGACAGAUGUGAAAUCCCCGGGCUCAACCUUGGAACUGCAUUUGUGACUGUAUAGCUAGAGUACGGCAGAGGGGGAUGGAAUUCCGCGUGUAGCAGUGAAAUGCGUAGAUAUGCGGAGGAACACCGAUGGCGAAGGCAAUCCCCUGGGCCUGUACUGACGCUCAUGCACGAAAGCGUGGGGAGCAAACAGGAUUAGAUACCCCUGUAGUCCCUGUCUCUUAUAC